GACCUGGACCUCUUUAUCAGAGAGAGACAGUGCUGCUAAUGGGACUCCUGUCCACCUGUGGUACCAGUCCCACAGAGCACAUCUUCCCGUAGACACUCUAGUAUGGUGGGGUUUCAGAGACUCAAACUGCCUCCAAAGAGCCAUGCGAGGAAGAAGGAAGGUUUGACAUAUAGCUUCCUUCAGCCAAGAAGCUCCAGACAACAUGGAUCCCAGCACGAAGCAAUAUAGUAAUGACCAUCCAAGGGAGACUCAAGAGAUGGACGCCAGGAAGUUAUCGUCUCUGAAGGAAGGCAAGAGUUGGUGUGGGACUGGAGGGAUAAAUAUUGCCAUGUGAAGAAACGGAAGUGCGCCCCGUGCAGGAGAGAGGACAUGAUUUGGCUGGGGGGCCCAGCAGCGAAGACUCAUUGCGUUAUUUUUUAUACUUGCUGUGACCAAGCAUCGGACAACAAUCAAUUUAAGGAGGAAAGGCUUUAUUUUGACUUAUGGUUUGAGGGAACAGAUUCCAUCAUGGCCGGGCAGACAGUGAGGUAGGAGUUCGUGACAACUGGUUCCACUGCGUCUGUGGUCAGGAAGCACAGAAAGAGGCAUGCUGGUGCGCAUCUUCCUUUCCCCUUUUCAUUCAGUCCUGGACCUCAGCCCAGGAAUAGAACGGGUGAGACGUGAUAACUCUAAUAUAGAUAAAUUCCUCACAGACAUGCCCAGAGCAUUGUCUCCUACGGGAUUAUAGAUUGUGUAAGUACUAUCACAUCUAUAACUUGGGAAUCAGUCUUGGCAGAGCAGACUGAAUAGAUGUGAGGUCACCAUGCAAGAGCCCACCAUUGGCCUUCCACACCUUUUCAGAAAACAGUGCCCUUACUGGAGAAUUUGCGUCUUAAUGUUUUAUUAUUUCUAUUAUACUAAUUAAUUAUCUUAAGAGUGAGAAGGAGUGAGUGUUUGGCUCUAUUUGCUACAGCACGCUUGUGGAGGCCAGAGGACAACUAGCAGAAGUUCUCUUCCUUCCACCCUGUGUAUGGGUCUCUCCUAGGGAUUGAACUCGGGCCGCCAGGCUUGGCAGCAAGCGUCUAUACCUACUGAGUCAUCUUGUUGGCCCAAAGAUGUACAUUUUAACAGUGUUGACUUGGUAAGAGAAAGAGAUGCAUGCGCUAUGGCCAUACAGCUGUGAUGAAAAUGGCAUUAGCAGGAAGAGAGAGUAUAGGGAAAUGUAAUGAAUAGGCAUGGGUGAGAGAGAAACCCCAACCCUCCAGGCAGCCCUAUCACCUCACUGUGGACCUCACUUUAGGACUCAGGUAGAGACAACACAAUCUUGGAGCUGGAUAGUUGCUCCACUGACUUAAAACAGGGCCCACUUUAUCCUGGAAGAAAGUUGAGUUGAAGGACCCCGUGCUCCACUUUCUCCUAGGUACCAGACAAAGACACUUAUCUAUCAUAGAUACUCUGGUCUAGGAUGGAGCAGGCAGAGUGGAGAACAUGUAGCCCAGACAUGAUGCUCAUUCUGUGGAGGGGAAAAGCCAAGACCUAAAAAGCUAAGCUAGUUAGUUCCCUGGGCAUCAGCAGCUGGGAUCUGCAGCUCUGACUGAGGCCCCACCCCAGCCCUCAAACACUGCAUAAAGCCAAGGGGGAAGCAGGGAGUUCCCUAAGCAUUUGUAAACAGAAAAGAUAUAACCAAGCUGUUCCUUGGUUCCCAGGAGCACGAAGGUCUUAUGUGAUCAAUGCUUCUGGAAUUGCAAGGUGUCCAGGUGGGGAGGUUCAUUUACCCCCUGUCUGGCAGAGGCUCACUUAAGGGAGUGAUUUCUUCUCAUCUAGCCCAUUAUUCAGAGCGAGCUGCCUCCUGGUGCGCUGUCAAAAUACAUCAGCUUCAAAGACAAACACACACCUUUCCAUCUGAGGCCAAGAUAGUUUACUGUAUAAUUUAUGAUAAUGUUAAGCCCGAUUCUCAGAAAUGGUAAUGGGGCCACUUUCUUUUUACUUUUUCAUAGAUGGGUAAUUCUCAGAAAGGCAGUUGAAUGUGAAAAGUUGCCUCUUUUUAAAAAAAAAAAAAACAACACAAACUGCCUGUGCCCACAAAUCUGAUUAGAACAAAACAGAACUCCAGUGGAUUGCAGGCACGAGAAGUUCCAUGAAUGACAGGAAGCAAAUCCUAAGAAGAAGCCAUCUAAGAAGUCUGCUCAAAUAACUGGUAGUGCCCUGUGCUUUGGUUAGGUCCCCACUCACAGGCUUGUUUAUAUCUUAGUGCAUGGAUAUGAAUAAAGAGACAUUUGUCUUCCUUCACCCAGGUCCUUUUGGCUCUUAUUAGUCUGAAUGUACUGUCUUUUUUAAUUUGUUAUGUAUUCUGUGGUGAGUGUACAUGUGUACUAGCCAUGGGUGUCCAUGAUGGAGGACAGAAGACAGAUUGGAAUUCCUGCAGCUGGACUUACCAGAUGGGUUAAGAUGUGAGCCCCACAGUGUGGAAGCUAGGAACUGAACACAAGUCCUUUGGAAGAACACUUAGUACUCUUAACUGCCGAGUCAUCUCUCUAGGCCCUGUCUAUUCAUCUCAAUAUAAUACAGUAUGCCUUGGGUAUUUCCCGAAGCAAAUUCUCUCCUACUAAAAAUACUUCACCAUCCAGCAGUCAACCUUUUACUCAUUUUGAGACAUUUCAAACUUUGAUUUGAAACAGAAAUGCCUCCGUUGCCUCUUUUGUCCUCUAUAGAAUUGUUUUGACUGCUAAACGCGUUUGAGGAACUCGCUCCCAGACUUCGGGAAGUUGGGUUUUAGAAUCACUUGACUCUUUCAAAGUCAAUAGUUGAUAAAAGGAAAACAGUCAAGAGUUGUAGUUACACUGUGGUGCUGGGGCUUCUGAAAUUCCAAGCGCUCUAUUUUGAAGUCUCCCGCUCAUCAAAGGAAGUAUGGAAGCAUUCCAAAUCUAACCUGCUGUAAAAUACAAUAUCAGUAAAUCCAUUUGAAUGUAAAAAGAUUUCAAAAGUCUAAAAUGAAGCAGCUGGAAAAACAGACAAAGGAAACCUUCCUGUCUUCCUAGAAACAGCCGGGCUCUAGUCUCUUCUGCUUGAUAACCAUAAAACCUCCUUCAUUGUUUCUUCAAGCACUCAUUUUCUCAUUCAAUAAAGACACUGUAACUUUGAGGUUAAGGAACCAGGCUGGGCACACACUAGAAUACAGUCUCUCCUCUCAACGAGCCCAGAGCGAAGGGGAGAGAAGGCAGUGCCAAUCAUCCUACAGUGUGUGUAGUGUUAGCAUAACCCUACAGGAGAUAAACAGAUGCUGUGGAUGGAGUGAGGAACAGGGUGUAGGUGGAAAGGGUGAUGUUUCUUGUGAGCCAGGACUCCAGUCCCGUUUCCUCCUUAAGAAAGAGCCCCAUGAACCGAAAGCCCAGAGAAUCUGACAGCGAUUAUUUUUCAUGGUGAGAUCUGGGAAGCCAUGGGAUAAUGAGUGUGUUCUUUUGUGCUUCUGGCUCUUAGGAAAAAUAGCUAAACAGUUUGGAGCAGACCUUUCAAAAUUCCUCUCAGAUAAGUUUCUCAAUCUCGUUUGUACUUUUUUGAGGACUUAAAAUGGAACAGCUCUGUAACUCCAUUGCACAGAUGCCGGAAUCUAGGCACAGAGGUGGGGGAUGGGGUGGGGUGAGCAGUGGUGGGCUCAGGGAAGGCUUUGUAGAGGGAGAGCCUAGAGAGAUGUCAUUAGGAACGAACAGCUGGAAUGCCAGGGGUAAAGGUGGAGAGAAGCCACCCCUUCCAUCACCUCUGAAGUGGCACUACCUUUGCAGAAGAAGGCAGAAGGAAUGGUUUGCUCUGUUUUUCUUUUCCUUUUUUUUUUUUCACAUAUAAAAUCAAGUCAGAAAGAAGUCAGAUUGCAUUAAAAAUUUUCAAAGUACGUUUUUGUUGGUUUUAGUUUUCUGAGACAGGGUUUCUCUGUAUAAGUCUCACUGUCCUGAAACUCUUUCUCUCUAGAACAGGUUAGCCUCGAACUCAGUGAUUUUCCGGCCUCUGUCUCCUGAGUGAUGGGGUUAAAGGCAUGACUACCUGGCUCUAAAUGCAUUUGGAAAUGCCUAAGGCGGAGAGGUCAGGUCUUAAGGCUCACCUCACCUCUUCCUUCCUGUGAAAUGAGGGCAAUACUUCACCAGCUUACCAAUACUUCACCAGCUUACCAAUACUUCACCAGCUUACCAAUAACAUGAAGUUAAGGUGCAAGAGG
rnacentral:lncRNA from 1 species